rnacentral:snRNA from 1 species
AUGCCCACUUUGGCAGCAUGUAUACUAACAGUGGAACAAUACUGAGAAGAUUAGCAUGGCCCCUGCAUAAGGAUGACAUGCAAAUUUGUGAAGCAUUCCAUAUUUAU